rnacentral:rRNA from 1 species
CCGAGUUUACAACUCCCAAACCCAAUGUGAACCAUACCAAACUGUUGCCUCGGCGGGGUCACGCCCCGGGUGCGUCGCAGCCCCGGAACCAGGCGCCCGCCGGAGGGACCAACCAAACUCUUUUCUGUAGUCCCCUCGCGGACGUUAUUUCUUACAGCUCUGAGCAAAAAUUCAAAAUGAAUC